GGAAAACCUGCUGAUCAGAAUGAAGGUUACUUAUAUUACAAUAAACAUGUGUUGGUCUUGGCUAAUAUUGGUUUAAGUCACAGUCUCAUUUGAACUCAAAGUGCCUUUUGCUUUGGCUGCUCAAAGGACACAAUUGUCAUCAAGGAAUUGAAAUCUCUUCUGUUCCCCCAGCUGGAAGAAAAGAGAUUGGAGGUGGCAGUGGAAGGGACAGGGCACAAGAAAGAAAAGGAAAGGAACGCGGACGCUCGCACACAACUUCUUACAAUGGCUCUAGCAUGCCCUUCCAUUGGUAGGAAUCCUUUUGAUCAAAUCCUUGCCCUGGGCUGGAAGUGUUUUAAUGAGCAUACAGACAUCGUCUUUUUUUCCUCGGUCUAUUUUGUGUUCUUAAGGAUAGAUAAGUAAAGUGUGCACUUAAAUGAUCAUGUGUGCGCUUCUUAACUGUGCUCUAGAGGGAACGCGUGGUGCUUGAACGCAGAGGCUGAACAGUGCCAGCCUGAAGGACAAGAAAAAUAGCAGAGGAGGAAACUUGAACUGAAGUGAACUUGUUUCUUUUAACAUUUUGUUUUCUUCUGGAGGAGGAACAAGAAGCCUGCAGACAGGUGGGGAUCUAGGGGCGAGAGGUGUUUUGUGCAGACUUCCAUGUCUUGCCAAAUUUCCCCAGCACUGUUUUUUUUUUUUUUUUUUUUUUUUUGAGAUUCCCAUCAAGGUUACUGUGAUUCCUCCAUCCUUCUGCCUCUGGGGGUGGGUGACAGCUCCCAGCCUCUGCAGCAGGAUUCCCUGCACAGCUCCUGGUUUCAAAGGCAGGGUUGCAGGGAAGAUGGAAGCCAAGACCUCUGUGCAGAAGAAGCAGAGCUUUCCCCAAACUGGGAUGGCAAGAGUUGAAAGAAAGUUUAGCCUUGAGAGCAGCUGCCAAAAUCAAAACCUUGUUCAAAGUUUAUUUGAUGUGAAUCGCAGGAGGUGUGACUACUGGGAUUUGCAUCCAAGCAGGAACCCUGCAGAAUUCUUCAAAUCCUGGUGACAAAGAAAACAAACUGAACGAACAGCACAUGGCCUUUAAAGAUGUCCUCGUCUGGUGUUCCUGGUGGAUUUGAGAUGAUAAAGGACUGAAUAUUUUCCAGCACGGCACCUACAAGAAAACCUGAGCGAGAGCACCAGACAAAGCCGU
rnacentral:lncRNA from 1 species